rnacentral:rRNA from 1 species
CGUGUAGGCGGUUGGUCAAGUCUGGUGUGAAAGCCCGGGGCUCAGCUCCGGAAGUGCAUCGGAAACUAGCCAACUGGAGCGCGAUAGAGGAGGGUGGAAUUCCUGGUGUAGCGGUGAAAUGCGUAGAUAUCAGGAGGAACACCGGCGGCGAAGGCGGCCCUCUGGAUCGUUGCUGACGCUGAGACGCGAAAGCGUGGGGAGCAAACAGGAUUAGAUACCCUGGUAGUCCACGCUGUAAACUAUGGGUACUAGGUGUUCGGGGUGUUGACCCCCUGAGUGCCGCAGCUAACGCAUUAAGUACCCCGCCUGGGGACUACGGCCGCAAGGUUAAA